CAGUGCCACUUGCUGCUCAGAAAUCUCCCUGCCUGCCUCCUCCAGGAAAUCUCUUUUUCAAGGAAAAUUUGAUGGAAGAAAGCAAUGGAAACAUGAUAAAUGGCAUGUGAUUACCCAGCAUCCUGAUUCUUCCACCAGGCCUUCCACACCUGUGUCCAUAUCUUCCCCUCCAGGAUGGACUCCACACCUCUGGAUCAGUAAAUGCAAAUAAACACUUCAUCUCUUAACUUGAUUUUUUUUCAGGAUAUUAUAUCACGGCAACAUAAAAGAAACUAAUACAGAUAUUGUAUCAAGUACAUUGCUCAAUAAGUCGAAGUAAAAGAGGCAUUAUUAAUUAAUGCUCAUGAAAUUGUUUUUUUCUGUCUUUAUCUUGGUUAUCCUAAGAACAAUUCUGUAGGAGGUCAUACCCCAGAAUUAUUUUUGUAAAAAAAAAAAAAACAACUAUGUAAGGAUUGGACUUACUUUAUUAGCCCCAUUAUGUAGACUCUAAUAUUUCUAUUAUAUAAGUAUCUCCUUAGUCACAAUAGAUCAUAAUCACAAUGCUAGUUUUGUAGUUUGUAAUAUAUACCAUAUGAAAAAACAGAACAUGCCUAAAUCAAAACUCUUCUCAAAGAGUGAUUACUAGACUACUCUUGUGAUAUCAUGCUUCAAUAUUAUCCACAUGGUUUAGAAAAAACUUUGGAUAUCCAUUGAAAUCAACAGGAGAGUCACCUAAUCUCAGAUAUGCUGAGUUAGACUUCAGAGUUUGCCAAUUAUAUUAAAUCAUAAUUAGCUAAAAUAACAGAGCUCUAGUGAUCUGGCAAGAUUCAGAGACCCAAAAAAGUUUAAAUAAUAAAAACUGAGAUUAAACAUGGCAUGGUUCUCCAAUUAUAACAGUGAAGUACAAGUUACAUGUUCAGCUCUCAUUGCAGUGGAGAUGUCAGCUGUUUUGCAUGCUGACCUUAGUAAAGAAACUCUGGACUACAUUUACUAUGUUACGGUAAAUCUAUCUGAUGAAGGAAUUAGAUUUAGUGAAUAUUAUAUAUAUUUAAAUAGUUUUCUUUAACUUCUAGCACAUUUGGUCUUAAUGUAUAGUCCUCAUGCUGUGAACUCUACAUGCAAAGUUUCAUUUCAGCCUUGACUCACUAGUUCUAAAAAAAAAAAGAAAAACAUGUACAAUCAUUCAUUGUAAUUGCAAAGGUAAAUAAUUUGAGUAAAAUUAUCUUAUGUUUGUUAUAUCCUGAGCAUUUUACAAGUAUUACUGAAUUUUAUCUUCACAUUUUCUAAAAUACAUCUAAAAAUGAUCAUUGCCUUAAAUAUUAGCCAUAAUAAUGUCAGGUAAACAUUAAUAUUAGUAUAUACUUCAAGUCAAUGUUACUAAUACUGUAAAAUUUUAAAAUUGGCAUAACUGGGUGGGACAGAAAUAUCAGUUUUUAUGAAUGUCUGUCGCUCAAUCAUGUUGAUCUGAGUUCAGAUUCCAGCAUUUGAUAUUCCAAACGUUUGUUACGCCAACUCUGAGGAAACUAAGACCUUCUACCUGAGUACAAGUCCUAACACUCACUCGGACACACAAAUACAAUAAACAGACAAACACAUACAAAUAUUAACCCUUUAAAACAUCAUAAAAGAGUUUUUUGCAAAUAAGCAUAACUAACAUUGUAGAACAACAGUUUCAAAUAAUACUGAGGAUCAACCUGAGACAAAAUUCAAGGAAGAAACAAAAAAAUGACAAAGAUAAUGCAUAAUAUAAGAGGACAUGAACUAGAGAGAACCAACCAUCCUUGCGUUUAUUUUUAGAUGUAGAAACCAGUAAAGUUCUCACGUGUUUGCUACUGUUGCUGAAAAGAGUUAAAAUAAAUAUAAUAUCAAGCAUUUCUGGAGGUUCAAUAGUUCCCAAAGGGCAAGUAUUUAGGUGUGUGCCUAUUGUACUUUCUGAAGAAUGUGUGAGCUAACAGUUCUCUUCUGUAUCUGAAAGUGCCAUAUAGGGCUAGGUCUUGAGAAAGUCACCCAUCUUGCUUCCAUAAUCACUUCCCAUCUUGAUUCUGACCUUAACUCCACUCCUUCAUAAUAACACCCAUCUUUUUUGCUUUUUUGAAUUCAAAAAAUUAUACAAUAUAUUCUGUUCACAUAUAUUGCCUCCCUCAAUUUCUCCAAAAUUCUCCCCAUUUCCCUGCUUGCUCAAAUCCACGCUCUUUGCAUUCUCUAAGACAUAUACUUAAUGCCAUGUUAAAUUUAAGACACUCAUUAAAAAGUUUAUAGAGUUAUUGUUUUUAUCAGGUUCUGCUCUAUAAAUACUCACUUUUAUUGAUUAAAGCAAAAUUCCACAAAAAUGUUAAAAUUAACAUUUAUCAUAACACUGGACUGACUUAGAUAUGUCAGAAUAUUAUCUCUUUCUCAAGAUUCUGGAUUUAAUCAAAUCUUCAAACUCUCUUUGAAUUUAUUAAUAUAUUCAAAGUUUCUAAGAUUUAACAUGGAUAUCUUUUUUCCCUUAGUAUUCCACCAACCAAACAUGGAUUUAUACAACCAGAAAGUAAGCGUGUAAUAAACUCAUCAAGACUUUCUCUGACAACAUGACAUGAAAAUACCCAUAGAUAUGCAAUGAUUCAGGCAUACCACACGUGGUCCGUCUCUUAAAAAUAAACUACUUGUAAGGGCCAGGAGAUCUAAGAAUUCAUUGUGAGAUUAAGCCUCUUAAAACUGUCAAAAGUUGCACACAAAGUCUCACCAACAUGACUUCCCAGUGAACAAGGUGACAUCAGUAGACAUGCCAAAGUGAACUUGGAAAAGUCCAAGAAGAGUCAGUCAUAUACAAAGUGCUAGGUAACUGAAAAUUUGAGAGUAGAAGAGGUAGCAUUACAUAGAAAAGAGCUCACCAACUCAUUUUCCGGUGCCAAAUGGUCAUCCCUGAAAACACUUAAACAUAUAUAUUGUGUGUGUGUGUGCGUGUAUGUGUGUGUGUGUGUGUGUGUGUGUGCGCGCACGCGCAUGUGUGUAUGUGUGCAGCAUUACUCAGACUGAUCAGAUUUAUUUACAAAUAUGAUAUAAACAUAUAUACACUCUAGGAAUUUUGCAUAUAGUAAUGUGCAAAACAACAUUAUUUGUUGUUACAUAUAUUGAAAAUAUAUACAACAUGCAUAUGCAAUAACAAAUAAUGAAGGUACUAUGAACUCAAAGGAGAGCAGGGAGGUCUGUACUGGAGGGUGUGGAUGGAGGAAAGGGAAGGAAGAAAUACAAUCAUAUUAUGCACCCAUUAAAUAAAUAAACUGCUGUAAAUUACCUUAUUUGAAAAAUGAAGAAAAUUGCUAAUUCACAUCUACUAGCAUGUUUUAAAUCACUUUGCCCAUUGGGCAUGGUUGAGUAGCAUGUGUCCCAUACCUCAGCCAACCUAACACGCCCACUUUCAUCUCAGCUCCAGUCACGAGGGCACUGCCUAGAACACAUCACAUCCUUCUGCUCAUACUUUGUUCUGACUUCCUUGUUUUGACAACUAUUGAAAAACAAAUAAUUUCCAUCUUUCUGUACCAAAAAUUGCUAAAUCUGGUUCAGACUUUCACAUGGUUAGGACAUUCUUCUAGAAACAAUA